rnacentral:lncRNA from 1 species
GUUCUCUAUCUUAUUGUUCGAUAGCUUGAGUCUGGUCGAAAAUAAGAAAGUACAAUUAUAAAUCAUAUAACAAAGUAGAUUUGGGAAAUUAUUGAGUGCUCAAUUGAGGUAAGACUUGGAUUUAGUAAAAAAAAAAAUGUCGAAACUAGAUAAGAAAUCUGAAAUGUAAUUAAGAUUUAAAAAAAAAAAUCGAAAAAAAGAACUGAAAAUACCCCAAACACGAAAGUAAUAUCAAGGAAACAAAAUUCAAUUUGAAGCAAUAAACCCAUUUUGUCAAAUAGUGUGAAAUACAAUGGAAAAUCAAUACGACAAAUGAGUAAUCAUAGUGAGUGACAUCUUAAAAAAUGUUUAGAACAUACUCACCCCUUCUCG